UAUGGCCACAUCAUGUUGAAACACUGAUUCCCAUAUGAUCACUGAAAUUAAGCAACAUGGAGCCUGCUCAGUAUCUACGUGGGUGACCACUUGGAAAUACUAGGUCUUGU